CACGGGGGUGAGAACUAUAUAAAUAUAGUUCCCAGUGGGUACGGCCACCCAAGGGAAGAGCUCGACCCACCAGGUCCAAAGGAGGCAACUGCAGGUUAGUAAACUGAACAGAUAGAUAGAUAUUCGAUGAUACAAUUAAUAAAACCAUACCUUGCCUCGCGAUAUGCAAUAUGUAAAUCAUGCAACUACGUAACAAGUAAAUCUAUUGAUCCUAUUUUAUAUCUUUAACCAUUCUUUACUUGUAGCCGUUCUUUAUUAGCUAUUUACGUUCAUUAGUUAUUCUUUAUUCUUAUUCUUUAUUCUUUAUCAUAUUGUGCUCACUAGCGAUUCUUUCCUAAGGUUACUUUACCUUAGUAAUCUAGCCACCCGACUCGGUCUUGAGUCAAUCAAUCGCGGAUAGUCCGCGCACUAUCUAGCUCGAGGUGAAGGAACUCUCACAUGCACCUCAGCUGGCAACAGCUCACCGUACUCCUGUCCUAGCCGUCUGGUGGCAAACAAUCGCACCUCACCCAACAACGGCCUAGGUAAAUGACUUAGCCACCCGGCGGCGAAAUCGUCGCACAACGCCACGACAGUGGUUCAGUCAACAGGCGGUAGGAUCCACAAACUGGCUAACCAUCCGGCGGCAAAAUCAUCGCACACGCCACAACAAUGGUUCUUUAGCCCUUGGGCGGCGAAAUCGUCGCACACACCCGACACCCCUUUGGGUGUAUCAACAAGCUUUGAGAUUCCGGAAUCUAUUUCACAUUACUCGAGGGUUAGUCUUAACCCUAUGGAAUCGACCUAUCUAGGUCCAAGUCUUUACUCGACCUAAUUUAACACUUUAGGUUCGAUUCUUUUAUAUUCUUAGCCUAGGUUUAUUAUCCCUAGGACCAUCAUUCUUUCCAACCUAGGUUCACUUGACUCUAGGUUAAACACUUUUCAUUUCACUACCUAUAUUCUUUACAUUAGGUUUAACAUCAUUCUUAUUUAACCUAUGUUUAAUAACACUAGGUUCAUUUCAUAUUCAACCUAUGUUUAAUAACAUUAGGUUCAUUUCAUAUUCAACCUAUGUUUAAUAACAUUAGGUUCAUGCCACUCGAUCUAUACAAUGUCCAACCUAGGUUCAAUAACUUAGGUUCAUGCCACUCGAUAUAUAUAUGUCUUCCUAGAUAUUCUUUUCUAGGUUCACAGUUUACAUAUUCAUAUAUUCUCAUUUAUCUUGUUACCAUCGAGGUUUCUAAUCAACUAGAAGUGUCGAUAUUCAUACAACCUGAACUAUAGUACAUUCAUUUUCAUAUAUGUUUAGACGUAGGCAUCAAACAUUCACUUUCAUAAGCAUUUAACACUAACUUUCUUUAACACUAACUUUCACGUAUCAACAAUUAUAUAUGCUUUAGCAUUUAUGUUCGCAUUUCGACAAUUAUAUUCAUAUGCAUCUAGCAUUCAUGUUCAUAUAAUAAUCAUUAUAAAUCAUCUAGCAUCAACCAUCUUAUGUCAACAAUCAUAUAUGCCUACUCAUAUGCGUCUAGCAUUUAUGUUCGCAUUUCGACAAUCAUAUUCAUAUAUGCGUCAAUGAAACCAUAUUUUUCUUUGGCAUGGAAGUGACCUAAUCACUUCGGUAAACACAACCCACC
rnacentral:lncRNA from 1 species